rnacentral:rRNA from 1 species
UGGGGAAUAUUGGACAAUGGGCGAAAGCCUGAUCCAGCCAUGCCGCGUGUGUGAAGAAGGUCUUCGGAUUUUAAAGCACUUUAGGUUGGGAGGAAGGGCAGUAAGCGAAUACCUUGCUGUUUUGACGUUACCGACAGAAUAAGCACCGGCUAACUCUGUGCCAGCAGCCGCGGUAAUACAGAGGGUGCAAGCGUUAAUCGGAAUUACUGGGCGUAAAGCGCGCGUAGGUGGUUCGUUAAGUUGAAUGUGAAAGCCCCGGGCUCAACCUGGGAACUGCAUCCAAAACUGGCGAGCUAGAGUAGGGCAGAGGGUGGUGGAAUUUCCUGUGUAGCGGUGAAAUGCGUAGAUAUAGGAAGGAACACCAGUGGCGAAGGCGACCACCUGGGCUCAUACUGACACUGAGGUGCGAAAGAGUGGGGAGCAAACAGG